GUGUGCUGAUUUAAAAGCUAUUGUUUGCUGACGUUUAGUUUGUAUUUCUUAGAUGGCUCCACCAAGAAGAGACAGGCGGAGCAACAGGCAGCUAAAGUUGCUCUGCAGCAUCUGUCAGGGAUCCUCAGCUGUCCUCCAAUAUUAGAUACUGAGAAGAACUUCAAAGGUGUUCUAAAAGAGCGUCUAGAGACACUGGGUCUCAAAAAUCCGGUUUAUGACACAGAUAAUAAAGCAGAGGUCAGUGAUGAACCCAUGUCCAUCGACAUCAGCUCGGACACGAUUACUUCUACAGUAUCCAUCAGUGAGGCCGAAGUGAAAGAUCAUUCAGAGUCUGAAAGCAUCUGCACAUCAGCACAGCUCCCAUCAUCCCAAGAGUCAGUCCUUGUUACUGUUCCUGUGCAGCCGGACCCUCCAGACUCCAGCUCUCCAGCCUCACAGAGGAAAAAGCCCAGGAUUGACUGUCCAGGAAUCACUUUCUUUGGUAAAGUGAUUGUGGAUCUUAAUCAAGAAGUUGCGUCUGAUAGAUGCUCUUCAAAGGAAGAAGCGGCUGAAGCUGCUUAUAAGGUUUUGUCAGAACGUUUUCACAUCUGUGCUCCAGCAGAAGGUCAGACGUAUAGGAUGGGGAUCAUGGAACAUUUCAACAGGCAUGAUUUACAAAAACCAACAGAAGAGUUUAUUGAUGACGACAACACAACCAUCUGCAAGCUCAAACUCAUUGAGCCUUUUACUUUCUAUGACAAAGAUGGCUCCAUCAAGAAGAGACAGGCGGAGCAACAGGCAGCUAAAGUUGCUCUGCAGCAUCUGUCAGGGAUCCUCAGCUGUCUUCCAGUAUCAGAUACUAAGAACUUCAAAGGUGUUCUGAAGGAGUGUCUAGACCAACUGGGUUUCAAAAAUCCCAUCUAUGAAACUGAAGAGUAUAAAGCAGAGACCAGUGAAGAGCCGGUCACCAGCGGUAUGAGCCCAAAUCUUUCGAACUUAUCUAUCAGUCAGGCAGCCGUGAAAGAGCAUUCAGACCUGAAGUCUGAAAGCAUCUCCACAUCAGCACAACUCCCAUCAUGCCAAAAGUCAGUCUGUGUUCCUGUUCCUGUGCAGCCAGACCCUCCAGACUCCAGCUCCCCAGCCUCACAGAGGAAAAAGCCCAGGAUUGACUGUCCAGAAAUCAAUGAGCUGUUUAACGUAUAUAAUCUCAAGCCACCACAAGUGAACAUGGAGAACAUAAAACAUGAUCAGAAUUUCAAAUGUACUGUGACAGUCAACCUGGAAAACUAUACUUGUGUCAACAAACAACAAGGUUACGACUCUAAGAGAGAAGCCACUCGAAAAGCCUACUUGUUAUUUGGCCAUGUGAUGGAAAUUUUGGAUCCUAGCUCAGAUGAAAAGAUGUGCAUUGCACUGGUGAAGCAGCACUUUUCUCAGAGGUCUCUUACUCUUCCUCAGGAAGAAGUUGAAGAAUCUGAAAAGUCAUUUUAUUGUUCACUAAAGAACAUAACUUACGAAGUGAAGUAUGACGGACAAGGAUCUUCAGAGGAUGAAGCCGAGUUACGUGCUCUCCAGAACACCUUACGUUCACUAUCACCCCUCUUUGGUUAUCCUUCACUACCUGGAGCUGAUAGUGCUGAAGAGGUUCAGAAUCAGCUGAGCUCCAUGCUGAACGGGGCCGGUCAGAGAGAGCCUGUCAUUGACCUGAAGUCUGAGGAACGGGCCUCUAUCCAGCUGUCUUUCUGUGACUAUACGCUGAAGUGCACAUGUCAAAGCAACAAGAAAGCAGCUCGAAAUCAUCUCAGUGAACGCAUACUGGGUCUGCUGGGGGUAAAGACAGAAGCAGACAGUGCACCUUUGAGAAACUCUGUAGACGAGUGGUUCAAAAAGCAGAAUCUGCCACAGCCAGUGUUUGAGGACACAGAAGAGGCGCUUGGAGCAAAGGCUACUUUCUCUGCUCAGUUAACCUGCUGCAGUCCAGGCUGGGAAGACAGCUGGGAAACUGCAAAGUCGAAGCUGCUUCACGAGCUCAAGCUCAGAUUUAGGUCUGUGGACGACAAAAACAAUUGAAAUUUAUUUCAGCUGGAAAAAAUUUUGGUCUGCAUGUCCUAGUCACCUACUCUACUGACUUGUCCUGGUGAAGAUUUUCAAACCUGGCUUGCAAUGUUAUCUAUUUUAAGGUGUUUCUUUUUCUUUCUCAAUACAAAUAUAGAUUUACAUUCUUAAAUGUACAUUUAUUUAUUACAUUUUAAAUUUCCCUGGAAUUUAAAUCAAUGGCCAUGGCAUUGAAUGAAACUAGAUGUAUUUGAAAGAUUUAUACCAGAGGUAUACUAACUAAACUCUUUUAACAUCAGAAGAAAAUUACAAAUCAACGAAAUGUAAUCGAAUGAAAAACCCGAAGUUUCGUUCAUUUUCCAAAAGGCACUGAUAUGGCACUGACUGAAAUUCCUUCAAAUUGAAUUGAGAUUCAGUUUCAGGGGUUUGUUGUCUUUGCUGGAAAACUAAUUUUAAUCUACUUCUGUGCAUAUGAUUCAAUGAGAUGAGCGGAGCUACAUUAUUAACAGUUUGUUGGUCAAGUGAAUCUAUUCAUUCCACACUUGACUGCAGAGUCAUUUUACAGUAUUUACUUGUGUUGAGAAAUUGUAUACUGUACAUGAAUCAGAUCUUCAUGGGCUUACAAGAGAAACUGAGCCAUACGAUGUGAGUUUUAAACACCAGCUUCUGUCUUUUGUAUAUUUAUUAAUCGUUUUGAUUAAUAUUGCCCUUGAACUGUUGAUUGUGCAAUUUGAAACCUGUUUACAAUGAACUACAAAAAUUUUUACAAAACGCUAUAGUUUAUCAAGUAUAGUGAGG
ensembl:lncRNA